AUUGAACGCUGGCGGCAUGCUUUACACAUGCAAGUCGAACGGUAACAGGCCGCAAGGUGCUGACGAGUGGCGAACGGGUGAGUAAUGCAUCGGAACGUGCCCAGUCGUGGGGGAUAACUACUCGAAAGAGUAGCUAAUACCGCAUACGAUCUAUGGAUGAAAGCGGGGGACCGUAAGGCCUCGCUCGAUUGGAGCGGCCGGUGUCAGAUUAGGUAGUUGGUGGGGUAAAGGCUCACCAAGCCAACGAUCUGUAGCUGGUCUGAGAGGAGGACCAGCCACACGGGGACGGAGACACGGCCCAGACUCCUACGGGAGGCAGCAGUGGGGAAUGUUGGACAAUGGGCGCAAGCCUGAUCCAGCAAUGCCGCGUGCAGGAAGAAGGCCUUCGGGUUGUAAACUGCUUUUGUACGGAACGAAACGGCUCUGGUUAAUACCCGGGGCUAAUGACGGUACCGUAAGAAUAAGCACCGGCUAACUACGUG
rnacentral:rRNA from 1 species